rnacentral:misc_RNA from 1 species
UUUCCGUAGGUGAACCUGCGGAGGGAUCAUUACUGAUUUCAUGUCCUACCGGGUCGAUCUCCCACCCUAUGUUAUUAUUACUUUGUUGCCUUUGUGGUCCUUUAGGCUCCGGCCCGACUACUUGCUCCGGCUGUUAAGCUCUCGCCACUGUUCUCAAAACCCUGAAUAAUUAUGACUUUCGACUACUAAUCUAUAGUUAAAACUUUCAACAACGGACCCCGUGGUUCUGGAAACCACGAAGAACGCAUCAGGUCGGAGUAGCAAACGUCUUAACUCGAA